rnacentral:rRNA from 1 species
GACGAACGCUGGCGGCGUGCUUAACACAUGCAAGUCGAACGAUGAACCCGGAGCUUGCUCUGGGGGAUUAGUGGCGAACGGGUGAGUAACACGUGAGUAACCUGCCCUGGACUCUGGGAUAAGCGUUGGAAACGACGUCUAAUACCGGAUAGGACCUUGGCUCGCAUGAUCUGGGGUGGAAAGUUUUUUCGGUCUGGGAUGGACUCGCGGCCUAUCAGCUUGUUGGUGAGGUAAUGGCUCACCAAGGCGUCGACGGGUAGCCGGCCUGAGAGGGUGACCGGCCACACUGGGACUGAGACACGGCCCAGACUCCUACGGGAGGGAGCAGUGGGGAAUAUGGCACAAUGGGCGAAAGCCUGAUGCAGCAACGCCGCGUGCGGGAUGACGGCCGUCGGGUUGUAAACCGCUUUUAGUAGGGAAGAAGGGCUUCGGCUUGACGGUACCUGCAGAAAAAGGACCGGCUAACUACGUG